rnacentral:rRNA from 1 species
UACGUAGGGGGCAAGCGUUGUCCGGAAUCAUUGGGCGUAAAGAGCGCGUAGGCGGCUCGGUAAGUCCGCUGUGAAAGUCCAGGGCUCAACCCUGGAAUGCCGGUGGAAACUGUCGAGCUAGAGUCCGGAAGAGGCGAGUGGAAUUCCUGGUGUAGCGGUGAAAUGCGCAGAUAUCAGGAGGAACACCAAUGGCGAAGGCAGCUCGCUGGGACGGUACUGACGCUGAGACGCGAAAGCGUGGGGAGCAAACAGG